CGGGAUAGCCACUGGAAACGGUGAUUAAUACCGGAUACUCCUUCUUGUUAUAAGACAAGUCGGGAAAGUUUUUCGCUAAGGGAUCAGUCUAUGUUCCAUCAGCUUGUUGGUGAGGUAAUGGCUCACCAAGGCUAUGACGGAUAUCUGGUUUGAGAGGAUGAUCAGACGCACUGGAACUGAGACACGGUCCAGACUCCUACGGGAGGCAGCAGUGAGGAAUAUUGCACAAUGGAGGAAACUCUGAUGCAGCAACGCCGCGUGGAGGAUGACGCAUUUCGGUGUGUAAACUCCUUUUAUUAGGGAAGAUAAUGACGGUACCUAAUGAAUAAGCACCGGCUAACUCCGUGCCAGCAGCCGCGGUAAUACGGAGGGUGCAAGCGUUACUCGGAAUCACUGGGCGUAAAGGGUGCGUAGGCUGGCUUUUAAGUCAGAUGUGAAAUCCAAUGGCUCAACCAUUGAACUGCAUUUGAAACUGAAAGCCUAGAGUUCAGAAGGGGCAGAUGGAAUUAGUGGUGUAGGGGUAAAAUCCGUAGAUAUCACUAGGAAUAUCAAAAGCGAAGGCGAUCUGC
rnacentral:rRNA from 1 species